UCCGCAGUAGCUCAGUGGUAGAGCAGCCGACUGUUAAUCGGCUGGUCGUAGGUUCGAAUCCUACCUGCGGAG
rnacentral:tRNA from 2 species